UACGAAGGGGGCUAGCGUUGUUCGGAAUUACUGGGCGUAAAGGGCGCGUAGGCGGCGUGUCAAGUCAGGCGUGAAAGCCCCCGGGCUCAACCUGGGAACCGCGCUUGAGACUGGCAUGCUCGAGUUCGGGAGAGGAUGGUGGAAUUCCCAGUGUAGAGGUGAAAUUCGUAGAUAUUGGGAAGAACACCGGAUGGGCGAAGGCAGCCAUCUGGACCGACACUGACGCUGAGGCGCGAAAGCGUGGGGAGCAAACAGG
rnacentral:rRNA from 1 species